rnacentral:rRNA from 1 species
GACGAACCAUGCAAACGUUAUUCGGAAUCACUGGGCUUAAAGCGUGCGUAGGCGGCUCAGAAAGUUGGGUGUGAAAUGCCUCGGCUCAACCGAGGAAUUGCGCCCAAAACUACUGGGCUUGAGGGAGUUAGAGGUGAGCGGAACUCACGGUGGAGCGGUGAAAUGCGUUGAUAUCGUGAGGAACACCGGAGGCGAAGGCGGCUCACUGGGGCUUCACUGACGCUGAGGCACGAAAGCUAGGGGAGCAAACGGG